rnacentral:rRNA from 1 species
UACGAGGGGGGCAAGCGUUGUUCGGAAUUAUUGGGCGUAAAGGGUGCGUAGGCGGUCUGACAAGUCUGAUGUGAAAAUCUAUGGGCUCAACCCAUAGCCGUGGCAUCGGAAACUGUCGGGCUUGAGUAUGGGAGAGGUGAGUGGAAUUUCCGGUGUAGCGGUGAAAUGCGUAGAUAUCGGAAGGAACACCUGUGGCGGAAAGCGGACUCACUGGACCAUUACUGACGCUGAGGCACGGAAAGCUAAGGGGAGCAAACAGG